GACCUCAAAUCAGGUAAGAAUACCCGCUGAACUUAAGCAUAUCAAUAAGCGGAGGAAAAGAAAAUAACAAUGAUUCCCUCAGUAACGGCGAGCGAAGAGGGAUAAGCUCAAAUUUUAAAUCUGUUGGGUUCCGCUUAACAGAGUUGUAUUUUGAAGAAACGUUUUCUGCAUCCAGGAUUAGCCUAAAUCCUUUGGGAUAAGGUAUCAUGGAGGGUGAGAAUCCCGUUCAUGGUUAAUCUUAAGGAAGCUCUACGAUACGUUUUCCAAGAGUCGAGUUGUUUGGGAUUGCAGCUCAAAAUGGGAGGUAAAUUUCUCCUAAGGCUAAAUAUUGGCGAGAGACCGAUAGCGAACAAGUACCGUGAGGGAAAGAUGAAAAGAACUUUGAAAAGAGAGUUAAACAGUACGUGAAAUUGUUGAAAGGGAAACGAUUGAAGUCAGUCAUACCAAUGGGAAAUCAACCUUUUGAGCUUGGUUUCGUGGGUUUUGAAGAGUUUCAAAGCCUUCGGAUUCGCGAGAUUGGGAUCUCUCGGUGUACUUUCUCGUACGGUUAGUCAACAUCGGUUUUGAAUGUCAUAAAAUGACUGGAGGAAUGUAGCUUCGAUCUCGUAUUGAAGUGUUAUAGCCUUUGGUAGAUGUGAUGUUUGAGACCGAGGAUUGCAACGGAUACCCUUCAGGGCUAUUCGUCUGAUCUCUGAUACGUUGCCCUGAUGUUGAAAGCUUGCUUAUGAUGUUAGGGUAUUACGGUCAAAAGGUUAGAACGAAUUACAUUCGUUAAGGAUGUUGACGUAAUGACUUUAAACGACCCGUCUUGAAACACGGACCAAGGAGUCUAACAUAUAUGCGAGUGUUUGGGUGAUUAAACCCUUGCGCGUAAUGAAAGUAAUUUUGGUGAGAUCCGGGAAAAAAUUUUCGGAGCAUCAUCGACCGAUCAGGAUAUUU
rnacentral:rRNA from 1 species